AUUAAGCCAUGCAUGUCUAAGUCCAAGCUGUGUUCACACGGCGAGACCGCGGACGGCUCAUUAAAUCAGUCGUGGUCCAAAUGGGCCAGUGCAAAUCCUACUUGGAUAACUGUGGUAAUUCCAGAGCUAAUACAUGCAACUGAUAUCCCGAAGGCGGUGUUGGGGCUUGCUUGCCUUGCGCUGCGCUGCUCUGACGGAUGCUUUUAUUAGACCAAGCCGCUGAGGACUUGAGGGUUCGCGCUCUCUUGUUUGACUCGUGUGAUGGUGACUCUGGAUAACCAAAUUCUGACAAGCGCACGUACUUCUCUUCUGAGCGAGACGGCGCUGCCACUUUCGAGUGUCUGCCUUAUCAGCUAUCAACCGUUCGUUAUGCGCGACCGAUGGCUUUGACGGGUAACGGGGAAUCAGGGUUCGAUUCCGGAGAGGCAGCCUGAGAGACGGCUACCACGUCCAAGGACGGCAGCAGGCACGCAAAUUACCCAAUCCCAGCAAAUGGGGGAGGUAGUGACGAAAUCUAACGAUGCGGGCGCCCUUUCUGGGGCCCCGCAAUCGGAAUGGGCACUUUCUAAACAACCUGUUGAGAACCUACUGAAGGGCAAGUCUGGU
rnacentral:rRNA from 1 species